AACGAACGCUGGCGGCGUGCUUAACACAUGCAAGUCGAACGUGAAAGUGGCUUCGGCCAUGAGUAAAGUGGCAGACGGGUGAGUAACACGUGGGUAACCUGCCCCUUGGCGGGGGAUAACCAUUCGAAAGGAUGGCUAAUACCGCAUAAGACCACGUCCCUGAUGGGAUGGGGUAAGAGACGAAAGUCACCGAGGGAGGGGCCCGCGGCCGAUUAGCUAGUUGGGGCGGUAAUGGCUAACCAAGGCGACGAUCGGUAGCUGGUCUGAGAGGAUGAUCAGCCACACUGGUACUUAGACACGGACCAGACUCCUACGGGAGGCAGCAGUGGGGAAUAUUGCGCAAUGGACGAAAGUCUGACGCAGCAACGCCGCGUGGGUGAAGAAGGCCUUCGGGUCGUAAAGCCCUGUCAGGUGGGAAGAAACCUGCGUAAGCAGCUGACGGUACCACCAAAGGAAGCACCGGCUAACUCCGUGCCAGCCGCCGCGGUAA
rnacentral:rRNA from 1 species